rnacentral:rRNA from 1 species
ACGAACGCUGGCGGCAUGCCUCACCCCUGCCAGUCGCACGAGACCUUCGGGUCUAGUGGCGCACGGGUGCGUAACGCGUGGGAACCUGCCCUUAGGUUCGGAAUAACUCCCCGAAAGGGGUGCUAAUACCGGAUAAUGUCUUCGGACCAAAGAUUUAUCGCCUUUGGAUGGGCCCGCGUUGGAUUAGCUAGUUGGUAGGGUAAAAGCCUACCAAGGCGACGAUCCAUAGCUGGUCUGAGAGGAUGAUCAGCCACACUGGGACUGAGACACGGCCCAGACUCCUACGGGAGGCAGCAGUGGGGAAUAUUGGACAAUGGGCGAAGGCCUGAUCCAGCAAUGCCGCGUGAGUGAUGAAGGCCUUAGGGUUGUAAAGCUCUUUUACCCGGGAUGAUAAUGACAGUACCGGGAGAAUAAGCGCCGGCUAACUCCGUG